rnacentral:RNase_P_RNA from 14 species
UCACGAUGGAGGAUGUGUAACAGCCACCAUACUGAUAGACUUGCUCUGUCUUACGGCUGUGGAAAGUCUGAGAGCGCUAAUUGUUUUCUUGGCGGAACAUGCGGUGAACGCAUUGCUUGGAACCAGUAACGAGCCCAUAUAAUGGCAAGCCCUGCGAAGACCCAUUUGGGAUGGAACGGCUAAGCACGCUGCGUUUGUGAGUGAGAUACAUGUCGCCGGAUUCGUCCGGAAACUCGAUUCAGAUUACUCCUGUUCGUGA